UUACGGCCAUAUCAUGUUGAAACACCGGUUCUGGUAUGAUUACUAAAGUUAAGCAGCAUCAAACCUGGUCGGUACCUAGAUGGGUGACUGCUUGAGAAUACCAAGUGCUGUAU